UGGGGAAUAUUGGACAAUGGGCGCAAGCCUGAUCCAGCCAUGCCGCGUGAGUGAUGAAGGCCCUAGGGUUGUAAAGCUCUUUCACCGGUGAAGAUAAUGACGGUAACCGGAGAAGAAGCCCCGGCUAACUUCGUGCCAGCAGCCGCGGUAAUACGAAGGGGGCUAGCGUUGUUCGGAUUUACUGGGCGUAAAGCGCACGUAGGCGGACUUUUAAGUCAGGGGUGAAAUCCCGGGGCUCAACCCCGGAACUGCCUUUGAUACUGGAAGUCUUGAGUAUGGUAGAGGUGAGUGGAAUUCCGAGUGUAGAGGUGAAAUUCGUAGAUAUUCGGACGAACACCAGUGGCGAAGGCGGCUCACUGGACCAUUACUGACGCUGAGGUGCGAAAGCGUGGGGAGCAAACAGG
rnacentral:rRNA from 1 species